CAUCACUGGUGUUCGGGUUGUCAUGCCAAUGGCACUGCCCGGUAGCUAAAUGCGGAAGAGAUAAGUGCUGAAAGCAUCUAAGCACGAAACUUGCCCCGAGAUGAGUUCUCCCUGAGACUUUAAGUCUCCUGAAGGAACGUUAAAGACGAUGACGUUGAUAGGCCGGGUGUGUAAGCGCAGCGAUGCGUUGAGCUAACCGGUACUAAUGAACCGUGAGGCUUAACCUU
rnacentral:rRNA from 2 species